rnacentral:lncRNA from 1 species
GUUCUUGUUUCCAGCAAUGAAGGAAGUGUUUGAAUCUUGAUUUUACCACUUCAGUCAUGUCACUUGGUGGCUGCCACCCUGAAUAAUUCCUAUCAUUUUCAAUACUAAUCCACAGGAGUCACUUCCUGUUCUUUCAGGAAGAGGCAAGAAGGAGAAUCAAAGGGAAGCUUAUCUGUGUCUUUUGCAGUCUAGCUUAGCUCAGGCACAAGGAACCCACCCCACAGCUGAGCUAGGCAUGCCCAUGGCUGUAGGAAUUAGCCACUCUGCAUUCUGCUUUCUUACUCCUGCUCUGCCCUUGCUUUGGUCACUGAUUCUCCCGGUUCAAAAUCCAGCCCCUGCACUUCUGGACCUAAACCCAGCACUGCAAAGUUUGCACCUGUGGGGCUCUCCCUUUGGCUAUCAGAGUCUUCCCUCUGAGGGAGUCCUUGCACACAGUCCUUACCACUAGAGACAGAGGCAGAGCUGGCAGAGAGCGGAGAAGGCAAGCGCUCCCUUGAGCAGUUUCUUCAAAGUCAGAAUCUUUUCAGACCUUGUGACAUAUAUGAAAGAUGGUAAAAGUCUACAUCCCUUUCCUCCCCUGCCCGUCAGGUCAGGAUGGGAAGAUGUGCCUGGGCUUCCACAGUGCCUCUGUGAAAGAAAAACUGAGACAAAAAAGAAAAACUGAGACGUUUCCUCCAAGACGUUCCUGCUCUCAGAAGGGGAAGGAGAGGAUGAUAACUCCCAUCUCCAGGUCUGUUUUUGAGACCAUUCUGAGAUUUGCAGUUUGUGAAGCAUAUGGAAGGACUUUGCAAAGUGCAGACAGUGGACGUGGGAACUCUUCAUCUUCCGGGUAGACCUGUGCUCCUUUAGAAGGAACGUCAAGAGGAUGGCAAACCACUGGUACAAAGACCCUCAUUCUCUCAAAUAUCGACAUGGGCUCAAUUUACAAGCGGAUUAAAACGUUAAGAGAAAAUAAAGAGGAAUAUAAUUAUUAACUGUGUGCCA